rnacentral:rRNA from 1 species
AACGAACGCUGGCGGCAUGCCUAACACAUGCAAGUCGAACGAGAUCUUCGGGUCUAGUGGCGCACGGGUGCGUAACGCGUGGGAAUCUGCCCUUUGGUUCGGAAUAACAGUUGGAAACGACUGCUAAUACCGGAUGAUGACGAAAGUCCAAAGAUUUAUCGCCAGAGGAUGAGCCCGCGUAGGAUUAGCUAGUUGGUGUGGUAAAGGCGCACCAAGGCGACGAUCCUUAGCUGGUCUGAGAGGAUGAUCAGCCACACUGGGACUGAGACACGGCCCAGACUCCUACGGGAGGCAGCAGUGGGGAAUAUUGGACAAUGGGCGAAAGCCUGAUCCAGCAAUGCCGCGUGAGUGAUGAAGGCCUUAGGGUUGUAAAGCUCUUUUACCAGGGAUGAUAAUGACAGUACCUGGAGAAUAAGCUCCGGCUAACUCCGUGCCAGCCGCCGCAGUAA